rnacentral:rRNA from 1 species
AGAGUUUGAUCCUGGCUCAGGAUGAACGCUGGCGGCGUGCCUAAUACAUGCAAGUCGAACGAGGCCCUCUUCCUUCGGGAGGAGGUGUCCUAGUGGCGAACGGGUGAGUAACACGUUGGUGACCUACCCCGAAGAGGGGGACAACCCCGGGAAACUGGGGCUAAUACCCCAUGUGAUCCUAAGGAUUAGAUGCCUAAGGAUGAAAUGGAGCAAUUCGCUUCGGGAGGGGCCUGCGGCCUAUCAGCUAGUUGGUGAGGUAAUGGCUCACCAAGGCGACGACGGGUAGGGGACCUGAGAGGGUGACCCCCCACACUGGAACUGAAACACGGACCAGACACCUACGGGUGGCAGCAGUAGGGAGUAUUGCACAAUAGGCGAAAGCCUGAUGCAGCAACGCCGCGUGCGCGAUGAAGGCCUUAGGGUUGUAAAGCGCUUUUCUGGGGGAAGAGAAAGGACGGUACCCCAGGAAUAAGUCUCGGCUAACUACGUGCCAGCAGCCGCGGUAAAACGUAGGAGGCGAGCGUUAUCCGGAUUUACUGGGCGUAAAGCGCGUGCAGGCGGUUUGGUAAGUCGGACGUGAAAGCUCCCGGCUCAACUGGGAGAGGCCGUUCGAAACUACCAGGACUAGAGGGCAGCAGAGGGAGGUGGAAUUCCAGGUGUAGCGGUGAAAUGCGUAGAUAUCGGAAGGAACACCAGUGGCGAAGGCGACUUCCUGGGCCAAUUCUGACGCUGAGGUGCGAAAGCGUGGGGAGCAAACAGGAUUAGAUACCCUGGUAGUCCACGCCGUAAACGAUGAGAACUAGAUGUCGGGAGGGUUGCCUUUCGGUGUCGCAGCUAACGCGUUAAGUUCUCCGCCUGGGGAGUACGCCGGCAACGGUAAAACUCAAA